UAAAUUGAGAGUUUGAUCCUGGCUCAGGAUGAACGCUGGCGGCGUGCUUAACACAUGCAAGUCGAGCGAUGAAGUUUCCUUCGGGAAAUGGAUUAGCGGCGGACGGGUGAGUAACACGUGGGUAACCUGCCUCAUAGAGUGGAAUAGCCUUCCGAAAGGAAGAUUAAUACC
rnacentral:rRNA from 1 species